GAUGAAGAACGCAGCUAAAUGCGAUAAGUAAUGUGAAUUGCAGAAUUCAGUGAAUCAUCGAAUCUUUGAACGCACCUUGCGCUCCUUGGUAUUCCGAGGAGCAUGCCUGUUUGAGUGUCAUUAAAUUCUCAACCUCACCAGUUUUCUGAACUGUUCUCCGAGGCUUGGAUGUGGGGGUUUGUGCAGGCUGCCUCAGCGCGGUCUGCUCCCCUGAAAUGCAUUAGCGAGUUCGAUACUGAGCUCCGUCUAUUGGUGUGAUAAUUAUCUACGCCGUGGAUCGGGGCUUAGACUCGCUUCUAACCGUCCGCAAGGACAAUACCUUGACAAUUUGACCUCAAAUCAGGUAGGACUACCCGCUGAACUUAAGCAUAUCAAUAAGCGGAGGA
rnacentral:misc_RNA from 1 species